GACGAACGCUGGCGGCGUGCCUAACACAUGCAAGUCGAACGAGGUCCAUCCUUCGGGAGAAGACCUAGUGGCGAACGGGUGAGUAACACGUGAAGAACCUGCCCCGAAGACCGGGAUAACCCUCCGAAAGGAGAGCUAAUACCGGAUACCCCCACCGAACCGCAUGGUUUGGUGAGGAAAUGGAUUCCGCUUCGGGAGGGCUUCGCGGCCUAUCAGCUAGUUGGUGGGGUAACGGCCCACCAAGGCAUCGACGGGUAGCUGGUCUGAGGGGACGGAUCAGCCACACUGGGACUGAGACACGGCCCAGACUCCUACGGGAGGCAGCAGUGGGGAAUCUUGCGCAAUGGGCGAAAGCCUGACGCAGCAACGCCGCGUGGGGGAUGAAGGCUCUCGGGUUGUAAACCCCUUUCAGCAGGGACGAAUCAAGACGGUACCUGCAGAAGAAGCCCCGGCUAACUACGUGCCAGCAGCCGCGGUAAU
rnacentral:rRNA from 1 species